rnacentral:rRNA from 1 species
AUUGAACGCUGGCGGCAGGCCUAACACAUGCAAGUCGAACGGUAGCACAGAGAGCUUGCUCUCGGGUGACGAGUGGCGGACGGGUGAGUAAUGUCUGGGAAACUGCCCGAUGGAGGGGGAUAACUACUGGAAACGGUAGCUAAUACCGCAUAACGUCGCAAGACCAAAGUGGGGGACCUUCGGGCCUCACACCAUCGGAUGUGCCCAGAUGGGAUUAGCUAGUAGGUGGGGUAAUGGCUCACCUAGGCGACGAUCCCUAGCUGGUCUGAGAGGAUGACCAGCCACCCUGGAACUGAGACACGGUCCAGACUCCUACGGGAGGCAGCAGUGGGGAAUAUUGCACAAUGGGCGCAAGCCUGAUGCAGCCAUGCCGCGUGUAUGAAGAAGGCCUUCGGGUUGUAAAGUACUUUCAGCGGGGAGGAAGGCAGUGAAGUUAAUAACUUCACCGAUUGACGUUACCCGCAGAAGAAGCACCGGCUAACUCCGUGCCAGCAGCCGCCGUAA